AUGGCGCUUGCAGGCCCCUCCCACCUCCUGUCCUCCUCCUCAGCCUGCCUCCGCCGUCUCAACCCGCUGCUCUUCUUCGCCCACCGCCGCCCGGCGUGGACCCCGCGCCGCGCCGCCCACAGGUUCUGCGCAGCAGUUGCCUCUGAGAGGGAUGUGUUCACCUCCCCUGAAGUCGCCAAGUCGUUCGACUUCAUCAGCGAGGAGCGGAUUUAUAAGUGGUGGGAAUCUCAAGGAUUCUUUAAGCCUAACUUCGACCGUGGAGGUGACCCAUUUGUCAUUCCUAUGCCACCUGCAAAUGUGACUGGAUCAUUGCAUAUGGGUCAUGCUAUGUUUGUUACCCUUGAGGAUAUAAUGAUAAGGUAUUUCCGUAUGAAAGGGAGGCCUGCACUUUGGAUACCUGGUACCGACCAUGCUGGGAUUGCAACUCAGUUAGUUGUGGAAAAGAUGUUAGCUGCUGAAGGCAUCAAAAGAGCAGAUCUUACCCGGGAGGAGUUCACUAAAAGAGUUUGGGAGUGGAAAGAGAAGUAUGGGAGUACAAUCACUAAUCAGAUUAAGCGGUUGGGUGCAUCUUGUGAUUGGACUCGUGAAUGCUUCACGCUAGAUGAUCAACUAAGUCAUGCAGUUGUUGAAGCAUUCAUUAGGCUUCAUGAAAAAGGACUUAUAUAUCAAGGAUCUUAUUUGGUCAACUGGUCUCCUAACCUGCAGACUGCAGUAUCUGACUUAGAAGUUGAAUACUCCGAAGAACCUGGCUAUUUGUACUAUAUGAAGUAUCGUGUUGCUGGUGGAUCGAGGGAUGAUUUUAUGACUAUUGCAACAACACGACCUGAGACUCUAUUUGGUGAUGUUGCGAUUGCUGUUAACCCAGAGGAUGAGCGCUAUGCAAAAUAUGCUGGAAAAUUGGCUAUUGUACCCUUGACAUUUGGGAGACAUGUUCCUAUCAUUGCUGAUCGGUACGUUGAUCCAGAAUUCGGAACAGGGGUGCUGAAGAUUAGCCCUGGACAUGAUCAGAAUGAUUAUCAUAUUGCUCGAAAGCUUGGGCUGCCAAUUCUUAAUGUUAUGAACAAAGAUGGCACAUUAAAUGAUGUUGCUGGAUUAUACAGUGGUAUGGAUCGUUUUGAGGCACGAGAGAAGCUGUGGUCUGACCUUGUUGAGACUAACUUGGCAGUGAAGAAGGAACCCUAUACACUUAGAGUUCCCAGAUCUCAACGUGGUGGUGAAGUCAUAGAGCCCUUGAUUAGUAAGCAGUGGUUUGUCACAAUGGAGCCAUUGGCUGAAAGGGCCCUCCAUGCUGUUGAAAAAGGGCAACUCACUAUUCUUCCGGAGAGAUUUGAGAAGAUAUAUAAUAAUUGGUUAACAAAUAUAAAAGAUUGGUGUAUAAGUAGACAAUUGUGGUGGGGCCAUCGGAUACCAGUCUGGUACAUCGUUGGAAAGAAAUGUGAAGAAGACUAUGUUGUUGCCAGAAAUGCAGAGGAGGCACUUGCGAAAGCUCAGGAAAAAUAUGGAAAAUCAGUUGAAAUAUAUCAGGAUCCUGAUGUUCUCGAUACUUGGUUCUCAAGUGCUUUAUGGCCUUUCAGCACACUUGGUUGGCCAGAUGUGUCCAGGGAAGAUUUUAAGCAUUUUUAUCCUGCAACAGUCCUUGAGACCGGCCAUGACAUUUUAUUUUUCUGGGUUGCACGGAUGGUUAUGAUGGGAAUUGAGUUUACAGGAACAGUACCAUUUUCUUAUGUCUAUCUACAUGGUCUUAUCCGGGAUUCUGAGGGGCGGAAAAUGUCAAAGUCACUGGGGAAUGUUAUUGACCCGCUAGAUACCAUGAACGAGUACGGGACAGAUGCAUUGAGAUUUACACUUUGCAUGGGCACUGCCGGCCAGGACAUUAAUCUUUCUACAGAAAGGUUGACAUCAAAUAAGGCUUUCACCAACAAACUCUGGAAUGCAGGCAAAUUUUUGUUGCAGAAUUUGCCUGAAAGAAGUGAUGCUACUGCAUGGGAUCUCUUAUUAGCAAACAAGUUUGACACAGAAGCAGCGCUUCAGCAACUACCAUUGCCAGAAGGCUGGGUGGUUACAGGACUACAUGAACUUAUCGAUAAAGUCAGCAUAAGCUAUGAAAAGUUUUACUUUGGAGAUGCAGCUAGAGAAAUCUACGAUUUCUUUUGGAGCCAUUUUGCUGAUUGGUAUAUUGAAUCUAGUAAGACUCGUCUCUACCACUCUGGUGAUGGUUCAGCUACUAUUACGGCACAAAGUGUUCUCUUGUAUGUGUUUGAAAACAUACUGAAGCUACUGCAUCCAUUCAUGCCCUUCGUCACUGAAGAAUUAUGGCAGGCAUUGCCGUACAGAAAGGAUGCACUUAUAGUUGCUCCCUGGCCUAGCACCGACCUCCCAAAGAACUUGUUGUCCAUCAAAAGAUUUCAAAAUUUGCAAUCGUUGAUAAGAGGAAUCAGAAAUGUCCGAGCAGAGUAUUCUGUCGAGCCAGCUAAACGGAUAUCAGCUUCUGUUGUUGCCACUGUGGAUGUCCUGGAGUACAUAUCGAAAGAGAAGCAGGUGCUUGCUUUGCUGUCAAAGCUUGACGCGCAGAACAUAAAUUUGACUGAAUCACUACCGGGUGAUGCAAAUCAGUGUGUCCACAUUGUUGCUGAUGAGGGUCUGGAGGCAUACCUACCUUUGGCGGACAUGGUUGAUGUGUCAGCGGAAGUUGAGCGGCUCUCUAAGCGCCUCUCUAAGUUACAGACAGAGUAUGACACUUUGUUGGCCCGCCUCAGUUCCCCGAGCUUUGUAGAGAAGGCCCCGGAAAACAUUGUUCGUGGAGUUCGUGAGAAGGCAUCCGAGGCAGAGGAGAAGAUCUCCCUUACUAAGAACCGGCUUACUUUUCUGCAGUCAACAGUUUCCACAUAA
rnacentral:rRNA from 1 species